rnacentral:rRNA from 1 species
UGAACAUACCUAUUUGUUGCCUCGGCGGUGCCUGUUCCGACAGCCCGCCAGAGGACCCCAAACCCUGAUUACAUUUAAGAAGUCUUCUGAGUAAACCGAUUAAAUAAAUCAAAACUUUCAACAACGGAUCUCUUGGUUCUGGCAUCGAUGAAGAACGCAGCGAAAUGCGAUAAGUAAUGUGAAUUGCAGAAUUCAGUGAAUCAUCGAAUCUUUGAACGCACAUUGCGCCCGCUAGUAUUCUGGCGGGCAUGCCUGUCCGAGCGUCAUUUCAACCCUCAAGCCCCCGGGCUUGGUGUUGGGGAUCGGCGAGCCUCCGCGCCCGCCGUCCCCUAAAUCUAGUGGCGGUCUCGCUGUAGCUUCCUCUGCGUAGUAGCACACCUCGCACUGGGAAACAGCGCGGCCACGCCGUUAAACCCCCAACUUCUGAACGUUUGACCUCGGAUCAGGUAGGAAUACCCGCUGAACUUAAGCAUAUCAAU